AUGACCAUGCAGGCAAUGACUUUGUCCCAGCAGCAAACACAGAAGCAGCGGGAGGAUGAAGAGAGGCCUGCGAGGCGCCCCCGAGAACGUGCACGCUCUACUUCACCUCGCCAACACAAACCAGUCGUCCCCAUCCACACAUUCAAGCCAGAAAGAAGAUCUGAAGCAGAUCCAGAAGACUUACAGACCUUCAGAGAAAAGAGGAACUACUUCCAGGAGAUUGGAAGUCAACCUGAGGAUGAAUACGCCCCUCCACAUGCUCACAGAGUUCCAUCCAGCCCUCGUCGGCAGCAGCAGCAUCAUCAGCCUCCUUCACGCAGUCCGUCUCCUCCACCUGUAGCUCCAAAGCCUCAGGUUACGCGUCGCAAUACAUCUCCAGAUAGAGAAGCAAAGCCCCCGAAGGAACGACCAUCUCCAACUCCUUUUCCCAAACCUCGGCCUGAACCAACUUCCAAAAUACGAGAAAUCAUCAAACAGUACAACAGUCGACCCCACGCGGACCCGAAGCCCUUUGAGCCUCUCAGACCAACUACAAAAAAGUUUGAGAAGAAGAGUGACCCCAAAGAGGAAGCUCUGGAGAAACUUAAGAAUAAAUCCCCCAUCUCAAAGCAGAAGAGAGAAUGGAUGCCUCCUCCACCGCCCAAGAGAGACCCCUCCCCUCAAAGCUCCCCUCCCUCCACCAGAGGUCGCAGAGUCAUCUCAAACAGCAUGAGGCAGAAGCAGCGCUCUCUGGAGGACCUGUUCAGCACCCAACGCUCCCAGCAGCUCCCCCCUCCUCCUCCAGACUCCCCCCCACCUGCUCUAAUCCCAAAGCCAGUCCUCCACAGCAUCCCUGAUCCACCGACAACAGCUGCUCCCUUCCUCAGUAGGUGUCUCUCAUGUCUGUCCAUCUUCUACAAAGAAAGAACUUAUGCUACUUUAGUCAGAGCACAAUUUGUUUUUCAACCCUUACUUUUCUUGACUAUAAAACCAUGA
rnacentral:lncRNA from 1 species